AACGAACGCUGGCGGCAGGCUUAACACAUGCAAGCCGAGCGCCCCGCAAGGGGAGCGGCAGACGGGUGAGUAACGCGUGGGAAUCUACCCAUCUCUACGGAAUAACGCAUGGAAACGUGUGCUAAUACCGUAUACGUCCUUCGGGAGAAAGAUUUAUCGGAGAUGGAUGAGCCCGCGUUGGAUUAGCUAGUUGGUGGGGUAAAGGCCUACCAAGGCGACGGUCCAUAGCUGGUCUGAGAGGAUGAUCAGCCACACUGGGACUGAGACACGGCCCAGACUCCUACGGGAGGCAGCAGUGGGGAAUAUUGGACAAUGGGCGCAAGCCUGAUCCAGCCGUGCCGCGUGAGUGAUGAAGGCCCUAGGGUUGUAAAGCUCUUUCACCGGUGAAGAUAAUGACGGUAACCGGAGAAGAAGCCCCGGCUAACUUCGUGCCAGCCGCCGCAGUAAUAC
rnacentral:rRNA from 1 species